rnacentral:rRNA from 1 species
AUUGAACGCUGGCGGCAUGCUUUACACAUGCAAGUCGAACGGUAACAGGGUGCUUGCACCGCUGACGAGUGGCGAACGGGUGAGUAAUGCGUCGGAACGUGCCGAGUAGUGGGGGAUAACGCAGCGAAAGUUGUGCUAAUACCGCAUACGUACUGAGGUAGAAAGUGGGGGACCUUCGGGCCUCACGCUAUUCGAGCGGCCGACGUCUGAUUAGCUAGUAGGUGAGGUAAAGGCUCACCUAGGCGACGAUCAGUAGCGGGUCUGAGAGGAUGAUCCGCCACACUGGGACUGAGACACGGCCCAGACUCCUACGGGAGGCAGCAGUGGGGAAUUUUGGACAAUGGGCGCAAGCCUGAUCCAGCAAUGCCGCGUGCAGGAAGAAGGCCUUCGGGUUGUAAACUGCUUUUGUACGGAGCGAAAAGGCUCUCUCUAAUACAGGGGGCUCAUGACGGUACCGUAAGAAUAAGCACCGGCUAACUACGUGCCAGCCGCCGCGGUAA